GUGGGGAAUAUUGGACAAUGGGCGAAAGCCUGAUCCAGCCAUGCCGCGUGUGUGAAGAAGGUCUUCGGAUUGUAAAGCACUUUAAGUUGGGAGGAAGGGCAGUAAGUUAAUACCUUGCUGUUUUGACGUUACCGACAGAAUAAGCACAGGCUAACUUCGUGCCAGCAGCCGCGGUAAUACGAAGGGUGCAAGCGUUAAUCGGAAUUACUGGGCGUAAAGCGAGCGUAGGUGGUUUUGUAAGUUGGAGGUGAAAUCCCCGUACUCAACAUGGGAACUGCCUCCAAAACUGCAUGACUAGAGUACGGUAGAGGGUAGUGGAAUUGCCUGUGUAGCAGUGAAAUGCGUAGAUAUAGGAAGGAACACCAGUGGCGCAGGCGACUACCUGGACAGAUACUGACACUGAGGUGCGAAAGCGUGGGGAGCAAACAGGAUUAGAAACCCCGGUAGUCC
rnacentral:rRNA from 1 species